UACCCAAUCCUAAUACAGGGAGGUAGUGACAAGAAAUAACAAUACAGGACUUUUUGGUUUUGUAAUUGGAAUGAGUUAAGUAUAAACCCCUUUACAAGUAUCAAUUGGAGGGCAAGUCUGGUGCCAGCAGCCGCGGUAAUUCCAGCUCCAAUAGCGUAUAUUAAAGUUGUUGCAGUUAAAAAGCUCGUAGUUGGAUUUCUGUUAAUAAUUUAUAUAAAAUAUUUUGAUGAAUAUUUAUAUAAUAUUAACAUAAUUCAUAUUACUAUUUUUUUUUUUAGUAUAUGAAAUUUUACUUUGAGAAAAUUAGAGUGCUUAAAGCAGGCAUAUGCCUUGAAUACUCCAGCAUGGAAUAAUAUUAAAGAUUUUUAUCUUUUUUAUUGG
rnacentral:rRNA from 1 species